UAAUAAAAGUGUUUUAUGGCACUUUUCAAACAAAUCCAUAUCCACCUUGUGUGCAAUGUUUUUUUUUUUUAAAUAAACACUUUAUUUUUCAAUUGCCAAUUUAUCUGAAGAUCAGUAUUAUUAUGAAUUAACUUAAUUCAAAAUA
rnacentral:misc_RNA from 1 species